AGUAUUUAAAGAUUCAAUUGGGAACUCUACAUUGAUAUUGGGCCGAAAAAUGCCUCCUCUGGCAAAAGUUCCAAGCCCAAUUGGGAAUCGACUAAGUUUUGGCACCAACUCUUGGGCUUCAGGGUCAAGAGAAAUUCUUUGUGCACCAUAGGUAAUGCAGAACGUGCGCACUAUCUACACUGAUUAGCUCAUACACGGG
rnacentral:lncRNA from 1 species